GACGAACGCUGGCGGCGUGCUUAACACAUGCAAGUCGAACGGAAAGGCCCUUCGGGGUACUCGAGUGGCGAACGGGUGAGUAACAUGUGGGUGAUCUGCCCUGCACUUUGGGAUAAGCCUGGGAAACUGGGUCUAAUACCGAAUAGGACCACGCGCUUCAUGGUGUGUGGUGGAAAGCUUUUGCGGUGUGGGAUGGGCCCGCGGCCUAUCAGCUUGUUGGUGGGGUAAUGGCCUACCAAGGCGACGACGGGUAGCCGGCCUGAGAGGGUGACCGGCCACACUGGGACUGAGAUACGGCCCAGACUCCUACGGGAGGCAGCAGUGGGGAAUAUUGCACAAUGGGCGCAAGCCUGAUGCAGCGACGCCGCGUGAGGGAUGACGGCCUUCGGGUCGUAAACCUCUUUCAAUAGGGACGAAGCGCAAGUGACGGUACCUAUAGAAGAAGCACCGGCCAACUACGUGCCAGCAGCCGCGGUAAUACGUAGGGUGCGAGCGUUGUCCGGAAUUACUGGGCGUAAAGAGCUCGUAGGUGGUUCGUCGCGUUGUUCGUGAAAACUCACAGCUUAACUGUGGGCGUGCGGGCGAUACGGGCAGACUAGAGUACUGCAGGGGAGACUGGAAUUCCUGGUGUAGCGGUGGAAUGCGCAGAUAUCAGGAGGAACACCGGUGGCGAAGGCGGGUCUCUGGGCAGUAACUGACGCUGAGGAGCGAAAGCGUGGGGAGCGAACAGGAUUAGAUACCCUGGUAGUCCACGCCGUAAACGGUGGGUACUAGGUGUGGGUUCCUUCCUUGGGAUCCGUGCCGUAGCUAACGCAUUAAGUACCCCGCCUGGGGAGUACGGCCGCAAGGCUAAAACUCAAAGGAAUUGACGGGGGCCCGCACAAGCGGCGGAGCAUGUGGAUUAAUUCGAUGCAACGCGAAGAACCUUACCUGGGUUUGACAUGCACAGGACGCCGGCAGAGAUGUCGGUUCCCUUGUGGCCUGUGUGCAGGUGGUGCAUGGCUGUCGUCAGCUCGUGUCGUGAGAUGUUGGGUUAAGUCCCGCAACGAGCGCAACCCUUGUCCUAUGUUGCCAGCGGGUUAUGCCGGGGACUCGUAGGAGACUGCCGGGGUCAACUCGGAGGAAGGUGGGGAUGACGUCAAGUCAUCAUGCCCCUUAUGUCCAGGGCUUCACACAUGCUACAAUGGCCGGUACAAAGGGCUGCGAUGCCGUGAGGUGGAGCGAAUCCUUUCAAAGCCGGUCUCAGUUCGGAUCGGGGUCUGCAACUCGACCCCGUGAAGUCGGAGUCGCUAGUAAUCGCAGAUCAGCAACGCUGCGGUGAAUACGUUCCCGGGCCU
rnacentral:rRNA from 1 species